rnacentral:rRNA from 1 species
CCUACGGGUGGCAGCAGUGAGGAAUAUUGGUCAAUGGGCGCGAGCCUGAACCAGCCAAGUCGCGUGAAGGAUGACUGCCCUACGGGUUGUAAACCUCUUUUAUAAGGGAAUAAAGUGAGGCACGUGUGCCUUUUUGUAUGUACCUUAUGAAUAAGGAUCGGCUAACUCCGUGCCAGCAGCCGCGGUAAUACGGAGGAUCCGAGCGUUAUCCGGAUUUAUUGGGUUUAAAGGGUGCGUAGAUGGGUUGUUAAGUCAGUGGUGAAAGUUUGCGGCUCAACCGUAGAAUUGCCAUUGAUACUGGCAGCCUUGAGUACAGUUGAGGUAGGCGGAAUUCGUGGUGUAGCGGUGAAAUGCUUAGAUAUCACGCAGAACCCCGAUUGCGAAGGCAGCUUACUAAGCCGCCACUGACGUUGAUGCACGAAAGUGUGGGUAUCAAACAGGAUUAGAUACCCCUGUAGUC